CAGGCCUAACACAUGCAAGUCGAACGAGGUCCAUCCGGUAGCAAUACUGGUGAAGAUCAAGUGGCGAACGGGUGAGUAGCACGUGAGCAACCUGCCCCGAAGACCGGGACAACACCGGGAAACCGGUGCUAAUACCGGAUAUCCCCACCGAGUCGCAUGGCGUGGUGAGGAAAUGGAUUCCGCUUUGGGAGGGGCUCGCGGCCUAUCAGCUUGUUGGUGAGGUAACGGCUCACCAAGGCUACGAUCAGUAGCUGGUCUGAGAGGAUGAUCAGCCACACUGGGACUGAGACACGGCCCAGACUCCUACGGGAGGCAGCAGUGGGGAAUAUUGGACAAUGGGCGCAAGCCUGAUCCAGCCAUGCCGCGUGGGUGAUGAAGGCCCUAGGGUUGUAAAGCCCUUUCGGCGGGGAAGAUAAUGACGGUACCCGCAGAAGAAGCCCCGGCUAACUUCGUGCCAGCAGCCGCGGUAAUACA
rnacentral:rRNA from 1 species